GAUGAACGCUGGCGGCGUGCCUAAUACAUGCAAGUCGAGCGAACGGACGAGGAGCUUGCUCCUCUGACGUUAGCGGCGGACGGGUGAGUAACACGUGGAUAACCUACCUAUAAGACUGGGAUAACUUCGGGAAACCGGAGCUAAUACCGGAUAAUAUAUUGAACCGCAUGGUUCAAAAGUGAAAGACGGUUUUGCUGUCACUUAUAGAUGGAUCCGCGCCGCAUUAGCUAGUUGGUAAGGUAACGGCUUACCAAGGCAACGAUGCAUAGCCGACCUGAGAGGGUGAUCGGCCACACUGGAACUGAGACACGGUCCAGACUCCUACGGGAGGCAGCAGUAGGGAAUCUUCCGCAAUGGGCGAAAGCCUGACGGAGCAACGCCGCGUGAGUGAUGAAGGUCUUCGGAUCGUAAAACUCUGUUAUUAGGGAAGAACAAAUGUGUAAGUAACUAUGCACGUCUUGACGGUACCUAAUCAGAAAGCCACGGCUAACUACGUG
rnacentral:rRNA from 1 species